GAUGAACGCUAGCGGGAGGCUUAACACAUGCAAGUCGAGGGGUAAAUGGUAGCAAUACUAUGAGACCGGCGGACGGGUGCGUAACGCGUAUGCAACAUACCUUGUGCAGGGGGAUAGCCCGUGGAAACGCGGAUUAAUAUUCCAUAGUCCAGCUAUAUCGCAUGGUAUAGUUGGUAAAGAUUUAUCGGCACAAGUUUGGCAUUGCGUCUGAUUAGCUUGUUGGUAGGGUAACGGCCUACCAAGGCUACGAUCAGUAGGGGUUCUGAGAGGAUUAACCCCCACACUGGUACUGAGACACGGACCAGACUCCUACGGGAGGCAGCAGUGAGGAAUAUUGGUCAAGUGGGCGGAAGCCUGAACCAGCCAUCCCGCGUGAAGGAAGACAGCCUUACGGGUUGUAAACUUCUUUUCUGUCAGAAGAAUAAGCUUGUCGAGACGAGUGAUGCCGGUAUGACAGGAAUAAGCAUCGGCUAACUCCGUGCCAGCAGCCGCGGUAAAACG
rnacentral:rRNA from 1 species